rnacentral:lncRNA from 1 species
AGCUGUCCCUCCUGUCCCUCCUGCCAGGCUCUGCCAGCUGCUCUGGUGCCUCAGAGCUCUGAACACUGAGCACUGGGCCCUGUACUGAUCAGAGGUGGGGAAGGCUUCCUGUCCGCUUUGGACCUGAGCUGCCAGCACCUCGCCUUCCUGGAGAGAGAGACUGAGCAGCGCCCUCCCACUUCCCCCUCUUGUGUCUCCUCCGGCAGUGUUCAGGAGACGUGUGCACUUAUCAGGCUGCAGCCUAAACCCAGUCGCCACCCUGAGACCCUCAGAGGAGGAGCAACAGUGUCGGGACUCUGAGGCAGAGAGGAGGAUGACUGAGGCUCCUGCGGAGGCUGACACAGAUGCAGACAAGGAAGACACCCCCGGGGACAGUGGGCCAGGCCAUUCCCGUCCUAACAGGGAUUCCAUUCCUGAGGCUGCUUGGUAUGAGGGACUGGGGGAGCCAGAAGAUGCCACCCCCCUACUGCUGUGGGACUUUGGCCCCUUGGGGCAGUGGCUAGGGUUCACCCGGAGUAGGGACUGUCACAGAGGCUCACAAGUGUGGUUCAAGCUCCACCUUAGCGCACCCUCUGGGCCUUCCUCAAAAUCGCAUGACUCUGACACUGAGCCACCCUUGAGAAGUGGCAAGGGACAAGGGGCUUGGUGGAUGCAUCAUCUCCUUGUCUCAGGAAAGCAGCAGAUUUCUCCAGCCGACCAUGACUGGGGUCCUGGGCCCCCCCAAACCACAGAGGAGGCUGGGAAGGUGGAGAACAGGGCUGUUGGACCUGACUUUGACUGUGGCCUCCCCGAGAACACUAGUGGAACGGACCUGGAUGCCGGAAAACAUGGCCUGGACCUCACAUGGCCACGGCCAGGCAGGAACACCUCCGCCAGGCUUGGCCUCCACCAGGCCCCGCGGGGAGCACCAGGCUUCUCACAGCUGCAGCCCUGGCAGCCUGGAGGCUCAGAGGAGCCCAGGGGCCAAGGGCUGGCAUGAAGAAGCACCCCCGCCCCAGCCUCCCAGCCCCCUCUGCCCAGGCAACUCGACACUGUGGAGAGGGCCCCACUGUCGCUGGGUUGUUAUGCUGAGAAAUGGAACAUUGCUUAACCCCAAGGAGAAACCACAAGAAGAGAAAAACAUGCAAAGUCGCCACAGCUGGGCUGAGCGCUCUGUCUUCGGGCGGGCGGGCCGGGUGGGUCUGUGUUUGUUAAAGACAGAGAGAAGGC